UCGCCACGCAACGACCGCCAGUCGAGGUUGUCCGGCUCCAGAGCAGCAGAAGAAUCCCCAAAGAACCCAAAGAGAACUCUGAAAAGAACCCCCCAAAGAACCCUUUUCCCAGCCAAGUUCUAGACCUUUGGGCCAGCCAAAAAGUGCAGCGACAGUCGAGCCGAGAGCCUCAAGCGAUACAGUCGCAAGUGCUCUGUAACCAAAAAAAAAAAAAAAAAAAAAUAAAUGAUUAUCCAAACUCUAUCAAAAAAGAACCCCAAGUGAUCCAGCUAGCCAGGAAUUUGAAACCGUCAAGUACACUUGCUGUGUCUCUGUGUGUUUUUACUCUUGUACUGGCCAAGUUCUGAUACGCUUUUAAGGCAUUCGUGUGUAAUUUAACUCCGUCUCGGGCAUAAUCAAUUCGCCGUAAUCCAUUUGCAUUUAAUACGUCGCGCCAACUUCCAAAAAAAAAUAUGAAAAAAAAAAACACGAAAACAACUUCAAUGGGAAGCCAGAAAACAAAUAUGACAGGUGCUGGUGUGAGCCGGAAAAUUACAGGUGAGUGCGCAGUCAUUAGGGGACAUUUAUUAUAAUCAAGUGACAAGUGGAAAAGGGUUGGGUUUGUGGUAUUACAAGGGAAAGAACAAAAUGAAUAUCAAGUAUCCGCAGAGUGUACCAAAAUUAGAAGUAACACCAAGGCAUUUGGUAUCAAAGGAAGAUAAAGAUAUUUCUUAGAAACAGGAUUCUUAUGUUGUAUUUUCGUACAUUCCUUAAAUUCGUUGAAACUGUGUUCAAGAUCAGAGGAAUGAAAAAGACGCCAAGAUAUCCAAAGAAAAGAGUGCUUAAAAAGAAAUUCCGGGAGAGCUAUAAACGUGGCCAAUCCCCCGCUGUAAUCCUUCCAUUUGGCAGCUUCCAUUUCUUUGCGUACUUUCUCAAUGCAAUAAACGAGUCAUCAAUCUAACCGAACCGAUUCAUCAGCACAUUUGCUACGCUUUUCCCGAAGCAACCAGCCAGCCAACCGCUUUCCAUUCCCGUUGGCCAUGCAAAUUCCUGCGCCAAAAUGGGUUGCUUGUUGGUCAAUAACACUGCCAAUCACUUUCUGCCUAAUCAUGCGUCUCAGCCGCUCUUCUGCCCUUUUCUGUUUUGGGCCUUGUUUACGGCUCACGAUAAAUGAUGUUAAAUAGUCCGUGGCCGGAAUGAAUUUGCAGUUUGUGCGCGGCUGUCGCAAAAACUAAUUUCGCAUCGAUUCCGCUUUUCACGUGAGCGGUUAUCUUAUCGCCGGAACUCGGCGUUCUUCCUAUCAGCUGUUUGGAAGUGACAAUUUCAUUUGGCGGGCAUCCCCUGCCAGAGUGAUAAGCAAAUUAGCUCUAAUUGAGCUAAGCUGGCCGAAAAGCUCUGGAGCAGAUAACAUGGGAUUGGGGGCGUUAACUUUGGACUUCUAAAGGCUUUAGCCGCUCCAGCCUCGGGCGGUUCUCACAUUUGUUAUGGCCAAAAAGCUGCGAGACGGCCACGAAAAAAUCAUAAUAAAGAAAAGUGGCCGCAAAGAGUUCUUAAAGAAAGCCAGUGGACGCGAGGGGGGACAGGUGGAACUAGCCCAAAAGAAAAGAAUUUCUACUUAUAACGAGUUUUUAUUACAAACGCGCGAAAGCGGCGAGGCAGCCGAAAAUGUAUUAAAAAAAAAAAGACAAAAAUGGCCAAAUAGGAAGAAAAAAAAAAAAAAAAAGUAGCAGAAAAGGUAGUAAAAAUGGGCAAAGCGAGCGAGGCUAACUGAAUUCCUUCUGGGUGGCUAAAAGGGGGGUGGGCGGUGGAAGAGUUGCACAUAAAAAGUAACAGCAUUUUUGCCUACACUUAAGAAAAUAUACCUUUUAAUGUUAUUUGAUUUUUAGGGAAUAGUGGUUUAAAAAUUGAGUAUUUAAAGUUAAAAUUUUAUAAUUUAUUUAAUUUUUGAUAAAGAUGAAAUGAGAAUAAUAAGAAAAGGUUGCCUUAAAAAUUAUGUGUACAAACUUAAAAAUGUAACGAUAUAUUUAAAUUCAGAGCCAAACAAAUGCAAGUAAGAUAUAUUUUAAGAAAGAAUUUAUUGUAGGCCCUAUUGUCAUUUUUUAAGUGUAGACGCUGACAGAGAGGGCGCUAAAGGUUGGCUAGGAAGAGAGAGCGGGCGAAAGAGAGGGGGGCGGGCAGACAGAUGAAGACCAAGACUGCGAAAGCAUGAAGCAACAUUAUUCAAAAGAAAGCCAAGUUAAGGCAUGCACACAGACACACACUAGCUCACAAAAUAAAGAGACAGAUACAUGGCAGCAUAAUGCAGCAGCGAGAGACUGUGGGAGAGAGGAGGAGGAGGGAGUUGGGUGGCAGAUCGGCCAGGCAUUAAACAUCAUUCAGUUGCAGCGCCGCUGACUGCGCCGUCGACGUCGGCAGCGACGCCGGCAACAAUCACAUGCCGACAUUCUUUCAUUCGUACAACGACCUCGACUUUGAUUUGCAGUUUUGGCCAACAAAAAGAGAGCCGCUUCGGGCCAACAAAGAGAAAGAGAGCCGCAACGGCCUCUAGACGACCUACACGCCUGAGCAAUGGCCGCCAAAAGAGAGUGCGAGAAAGAACGGGAGCUUCGUGUUCGUUCGGCGCUCUUCGGCUCUCCGAGCAAUCGGCCAUAGCUUUUUAGGUACUGUUAACGGACUUUCGGAGCCGAGGCAACCACCUUAUACUUAUUCUACCAUGGCCAUAGCUUUGCUCGCUCGCUGGCUGUGAAACUCCAUUCAUUCGUGCUGCGCGUCUCGUCUGUGCCGGGUGCUUUCCGGCUCUCUCCUGCCUCCCUCUCUCGCCCCAGCCGCCCACCGUCCCCCCCCCCACACGCUCACAACUAAACGCCAAGGCAGUGCAAAUGUUAAACAAAGACAAAGACAGUUACACACAGACACACAGUGCUCCGGCGAAAUAAGUGCAAAAAAUCACACAAAAUAUUCCAAAAACCGAAUAAAACACAAAACACAAAACAAAAGUGAACAAUCAGCCAAAAAACUCUAAAGCCCCAGCCAAUGCGUCAUUCCCGGCAACAAGAGCUAUCGCCGCAGACACACGAGUACUCGCACUCAGAUAUUCGCACUCGCACAGUUGCAAUUACAAAGUGCGAACGACAGGCCCAGACAUCUACACCCAUACAGCCAGACAAAAGCAAUAUAGAACCGAGAUUUGCUCAAGAGAUCGGAACUAAAGCGCCUGAAAAGUCAGCAGGGCAGUGCGGUUCUUGAAACAAGUUUAUGGAAUUAGGAAUUACUUCACAAGAAAGUACAUAAAACCCGGCUGUUAGUUGAGUAGUUCCUUUACCAUCAAAGAUAGUUAGUUCCUAAACAGAGUUUGAAACUGUUGGCAGAGUACCUGAAUGUUUUACGACCUGGUCUUAUACGUUUGAUGGUAUCUCAACAAGUUCCACAGUUUGAAUAACUUUAAAUCGUUUUGUCUUAGGUUCUUUCUAGCUUUGAAUGUUGCCUAAGUAGUUAAGUAAAGUUUUUAAAAAGUGCAUACAUGACAUAAUAAUAAUGAUUUAGUUAGAUUGUGAACUUCCUUAGAUGCUAAACAAUUGUUCAGUUUUUAUAACUCAGGUAAAAUGAUAAGAAAUUUAAAUUUUUUAACUAAAUAGACACAAUAAAGCCUUGAGCUUCUGCAAUUAGUAUGGGACUUUCGCGCAGUGUAGAUUGUCAGACAGAAGGCAGACUGAAGAUGCAGUGGGAGGGGCUUUGAACGGUUAUCAGCCAGCGUCUCAAACCCAAACUCGAACCCAAACCGAAACCGGGGCCCAGGCUCAAACUGAAACUCAGAAACAGACUCAAAAUCAGACAGCGGCUGAAACUGAGACGCCGCUGCCGGCGUUGUCUGGAAUUCGUAUUGCCCAUAUGCGAGCGCACACGCCCAUUUGCACACAUGGCCAACCGGAUGUUGCAGCCAUCUUUGUCAUCUUUUUCAAUCUCAGCCUUGGCUAAGGUCGCUCCUGCCAAACCGAUGUCCCCCCAUCAGCGCGAAAGAGACGGCAACGGAGAGAGCCGAGUGGUUGCCGUGAAGUCGUGAAUUUAUAACAAAACGCUAGACUCGGCGACUCUGCUGACUCUGACCGACUGGUUUGGCGUGUUGGCCCGGCUAAAAUGGAUUUUUUAUGGCUACGACAAGCAAACAGAAACAGCAACAACUGAAUCAAAAGCAUAAAAAUGCCGCAGCCCCAAAAGCCCGCAAACCCGCAACACAAAUUCUGAAUGGGCACCAUCUGAAUUUUCGAAAAUUGAACAAGCGUGAUGAAGAGAGAGGGAGAAGGAGUGUGUGAGAGAAAGAGAGAGGGAGAGGGGGGAGAUAGCCGACGAUAAGGAAGAGCGGAUGUUCCUUGGAUUGCUUGGGUUCUUGGCCAGAUGGAAAUCUUAAAGGAAAACGGAUGGGAACGAAAGUCGAGGAACGAACAACUCUCGCACACACAGGCACUUCCGGAAUGGAUGGCUCGACUCCUGACUCCUGACUUCUGAGUCCUGAGUCCUGAAAACUGGAAACCUGAAAACCCGGGGCUCGAAGCCUUACCAACUUGACUCCCAGGAUCUUGGCACAACUCGAGUCGGACGCUUCAGAUAAGAGUCGGUAUCUUGGCAUCAUGUGCUCCCCCAUUGGGAAAUUCUGGAUGCGGAAUCAGGUAAGGGGUUGGAUGCCUGAGCAAACAAUCAUUAAUAUCAAUUUGACUCGGUAUCUGAGUUCUGUAUCUCUGCUGACUUCUUCUGUUUAUGACUGCAGCAGGGCCACAAAUUAUUUAUUUAGUUCAUUUCGGUUACUCGCCUGCGGCAGAUGCUCCAUCUUUUCCACCCCCCAACCAUUCUCCAUUCCGUUCCAUUGCCUCCUUUUGAUUCAUGGCAAAUAAACAAUAAAUUAAAUUACCACAUUUGAUUGCCGGGCUCAGAACAAUUUUUGGUAUUCCCCAUGUGCGUCUCCCAGUCUCCUGAUAUCGCAUACAGGAUACGAUGUCCUGUCCUGUCCUGUCAUACUUCGAGUGCGUAAAUGACUAAACGAAUGGAUGGAUGCAUUAUGUAUGCUGCCUGCUGAUGCGAUGGGGCAAAAUUGAUUUUUAAGUUACGACCAUACGCAUUUAUUUGGCAAUUGGACCUGCUCCUUUGGCUCCUUUGGCUUCUUGGGUCUCCUCGAUCUUCGCCUGCCAAUGCCAGGGAAUUGCAAUUCCAUUUCGCCAUGCAUCGUCGUCCUCAAGGAGUGUGUGUGUUAUGUAUGUCCUUUGGCCUGGCCAUCGGCAGAGAUUUAUGGGCGAACGCACAAAAACGUUCAUUGAAAACACAUUUUCCACUUUGCCCUACCCCCCUUCACUCAUUCCCCCUCCAUUUCGAAUUGCAAAUUCAAUAAAGCAUUAUAUAAUAUGGCCGAGACGUACACUCAAACUCAUACUGACACAUAAACGGUGCCACGAUGCGAGUGCAAUAAUUUACAACAUUUUAAUCGAAUUAGACGCAACCCCAGGCGAAGGCAAAAGCAAAGGCGAUGGCAAUGGUCACUGGCCAAGAAGCAAAAUGCAUUUUAAGUGCCGCCUGGCAGAACUUUGGCACUUGGCAGCUGAAUUCGCCACCAGCGGCGGAUGGAAAGACAAAAAGAAUGGCACACCCCGGGCCAAGGGAAUAGCACUUGAACAUGUGCCAGCAAAUCUAC